AAGACCUUAUGCUUUUGGAGCGGCCGAUGUCUGAUUAGCUAGUUGGUGAGGUAAAGGCUUACCAAGGCGACGAUCAGUAGUUGGUCUGAGAGGACGACCAGCCACACUGGGACUGAGACACGGCCCAGACUCCUACGGGAGGCAGCAGUGGGGAAUUUUGGACAAUGGGCGCAAGCCUGAUCCAGCAAUGCCGUGUGAGUGAAGAAGGCCUUCGGGUUGUAAAGCUCUUUCAGUCGAGAAGAAAAGGUUGUGAUUAAUACUCACAAUCCAUGACGGUAUCGACAGAAGAAGCACCGGCUAACUACGUGCCAGCAGCCGCGGUAAUACGUAGGGUGCGAGCGUUAAUCGGAAUUACUGGGCGUAAAGGGUGCGCAGGCGGCUCUGUAAGUCAGAUGUGAAAUCCCCGGGCUUAACCUGGGAAUU
rnacentral:rRNA from 1 species